GGUCAGGUUGCAGUUGCAGGGGAGUGGGCAGGGUUGGGAUAGAUAGCGCCAGUGAGCUGAACUUCUGCUGCUGUAGUGUACUAUUAUCAGUUUAAUACUUUAUUUCAGAAAUGAUUUUAUUUGACGAAAACUGCUGUAGCCUUGUGUGUUUUUAUCAUCUCCAUUGAGAACUGUUGGAUUUGCUCUUCAUCCAGUAAUUAACGGGUUUAUCGGGAAGUUAAGAUGUUUACAGGGAUCCAGUGGCAUCCGAUCCUGUGAUUUCUGAAAGCAGCAGCCUUGGGGACGUCCCACCAGAGACUCCUGAAGGGGUCGAGGCGGACACGGUCAGUGGAGAGACGCUUUAGGGUCCCCCGUCCCACGCAUCGUGUGCUGUGAUCAAUGGAGAUGUGGUCUGACAUCAGUGCAUACGUGCAGCGUGUCACAGACAUGUGCUCCUGAUUUAACUUGCAUCUCUAGAUGAAGCUGCUUCACUCACUCAUACUUUAUAUUUAACAAUAAUCUUGUUUUCUAAACCAACUGUUGAACUUGUACAGUAAUGAAAAUCCAGUAGCUGUGGGAGUGUCUGAGCUGGACUGAGUUAGCUGUCCUCUCCUUUAAUUAAUCACAGUAAUAACUCAACUUUCAUUCUGAUCAGCAUCUUCACUUUUGGUUAAAGAAUUAUAUUAUAUUGUGAAAAUUAGUCAAAUAAAUCAAAAAGAUUCAAAUAAA